rnacentral:rRNA from 1 species
AGAGUUUGAUCCUGGCUCAGAUUGAACGCUGCCGGCAUGCCUUACACAUGCAAGUCGAACGCGGAAAUGGGGGCAACCCUGUGAGUAGAGUGGCGAACGGGUGAGUAAUGCAUCGGAACAUUUCCAGUAGCGGGGGAUAACCUGUCGAAAGAUAGGCUAAUACCGCAUACGACCUACGGGUGAAAGCGGAGGACCGAAAGGCUUCGCACUAUUGGAGUGGCCGAUGUCGGAUUAGCUAGUUGGCGGGGUAAAAGCCCACCAAGGCUACGAUCCGUAGCUGGUCUGAGAGGACGAUCAGCCACACUGGAACUGAGACACGGUCCAGACUCCUACGGGAGGCAGCAGUGGGGAAUUUUGGACAAUGGGCGAAAGCCUGAUCCAGCCAUGCCGCGUGAGUGAAGAAGGCCUUCGGGUUGUAAAGCUCUUUCGGCGGGGACGAAAUAGUCCGUGCUAAUACCAUGGAUCGAUGACGGUACCCGAAGAAGAAGCACCGGCUAACUACGUGCCAGCAGCCGCGGUAAUACGUAGGGUGCAGGCGUUAAUCGGAAUUACUGGGCGUAAAGCGUGCGCAGGCGGUUUGUUAAGACAGAUGUGAAAUCCCCGGGCUUAACCUGGGAACUGCGUUUGUUACUGGCAAGCUCGAGUGUGGCAGAGGGGGGUGGAAUUCCAAGUGUAGCAGUGAAAUGCGUAGAUAUUUGGAGGAACACCGAUGGCGAAGGCAGCCCCCUAGGCUAACACUGACGCUCAUGCACGAAAGCGUGGGGAGCAAACAGGAUUAGAUACCCUGGUAGUCCACGCCCUAAGCUAUGUCAACUGGUUGUCGGGGGAGCAAUCCCUUGGUAACGAAGCUAACGCGUGAAGUUGACCGCCUGGGGAGUACGGCCGCAAGGUUAAAACUCAAAGGAAUUGACGGGGACCCGCACAAGCGGUGGAUUAUGUGGAUUAAUCCGAUGCAACGCGAAAAACCUUACCUACCCUUGACAUGUACGGAACCUCGCAGAGAUGUGAGGGUGCUCGAAAGAGAACCGUAACACAGGUGCUGCAUGGCUGUCGUCAGCUCGUGUCGUGAGAUGUUGGGUUAAGUCCCGCAACGAGCGCAACCCUUGCCAUUAGUUGCUACAUUUAGUUGGGCACUCUAAUGGGACUGCCGGUGACAAACCGGAGGAAGGUGGGGAUGACGUCAAGUCCUCAUGGCCCUUAUGGGUGGGGCUUCACACGUAAUACAAUGGUCGGUACAGAGGGCAGCCAACCCGCGAGGGGGAGCUAAUCCCAGAAAGCCGAUCGUAGUCCGGAUUGUAGUCUGCAACUCGACUACAUGAAGCCGGAAUCGCUAGUAAUCGCGGAUCAGCAUGUCGCGGUGAAUACGUUCCCGGGUCUUGUACACACCGCCCGUCACACCAUGGGAGUGGGUUUCACCAGAAGUAGUUAGCCUAACCGCAAGGAGGGCGACUACCACGGUGAGAUUCAUGACUGGGGUGAAGUCGUAACAAGGUAGCCGUAUCGGAUGGUGCGGCUG